AAAACUAUCUCAGAGGUUCGUUGUUUAACCCAUAUUUCUCUAUUUACAGACAUUGAAAACAAACUGAAAACAUUUUGUCUUUGCCAUCGCAUAGAUUUGGGAAAUCUGUGUCUUUUUUUUUCUGAUGAUGACAUUUUUUUUCUUUUCAGGAACCGCAAUACUUUGUCGUUUUGUAACUUGGUUACUACAGAUAUUUUUUUCAAAAUUAGAGAAAACGGCAAUAACACCUGUACCAAAAUGUUAAUUUCUGAUUCAGGAGAAACAAUAACUUUAUCCAUUU
rnacentral:lncRNA from 1 species